CCUACGGGAGGCUGCAGUGGGGAAUAUUGCACAAUGGGCGCAAGCCUGAUGCAGCCAUGCCGCGUGUGUGAAGAAGGCCUUCGGGUUGUAAAGCACUUUCAGCGGGGAGGAAGGCGGUGAGGUUAAUAACCUCAUCGAUUGACGUUACCCGCAGAAGAAGCACCGGCUAACUCCGUGCCAGCAGCCGCGGUAAUACGGAGGGUGCAAGCGUUAAUCGGAAUUACUGGGCGUAAAGCGCACGCAGGCGGUCUGUCAAGUCGGAUGUGAAAUCCCCGGGCUCAACCUGGGAACUGCAUUCGAAACUGGCAGGCUAGAGUCUUGUAGAGGGGGGUAGAAUUCCAGGUGUAGCGGUGAAAUGCGUAGGGAUCUGGAGGAAUACCGGUGGCGAAGGCGGCCCCCUGGACAAAGACUGACGCUCAGGUGCGAAAGCGUGGGGAGCAAACAGGAUUAGAUACCCGGGUAGUC
rnacentral:rRNA from 1 species